CCCUUAGAUGUUCUGGGCCGCACGCGUGCUACACUGAACGGUUCAAUGGGUAAGGUAGUGCGAAAGCAUGACCUAAUCUCGAAAUCCGUUCGUGCUGGGGAUAGAAGCUUGCAAUUAUCCUUCUUGAACGAGGAAUACCUUGUAAGCGUGAGUCAUCAUCUCACGCUGAAUACGUCCCUGCCCUUUGUACACACCGCCCGUCGCUCCUACCGAUUGAGUGUUCCGGUGAGGCUUUGGGAGAACGGCCUCAACAUGAGUUUAUCGUGUUUUGCCGUUUGAACUUAGUCAAACCUUAUCACUUAGAGGAAGGAGAAGUCGUAACA
rnacentral:rRNA from 1 species